rnacentral:rRNA from 1 species
AUACGGAGGGGGCUAGCGUUGUUCGGAAUUUCUGGGCGUAAAGCGCGCGUAGGCGGAUCGUUAAGUCAGGGGUGAAAGCCCGGAGCUCAACUCCGGAACUGCCCUUGAUACUGGCGAUCUCGAGUCCGGGAGAGGUGAGCGGAAUUCCUAGUGUAGAGGUGAAAUUCGUAGAUAUUAGGAGGAACACCAGUGGCGAAGGCGGCUCACUGGCCCGGUACUGACGCUGAGGUGCGAAAGCGUGGGGAGCAAACAGGAUUAGAUACCCUAGUAGUCC